rnacentral:lncRNA from 10 species
CAGCUCACUGCAACCUCCACCUCCCGGGUUCAACCAAUUCUGCCUCAGUCUCCCAAGUAGCUGGAAUUAGAGGUGCCCGCCACCAUGCCUGGCUAAUUUUUAUAUUUUUAGUAGAGACGGGGUUUCACCAUGUUGGCCAGGCUGGUCUUGAACUGCUGACCUCAAGUGGUCCACCCGCCUCGGCCUCCCAAAGUGCUGGGAUUACAGGCAUGAGCCACUGCUCCCGACCUGCAAUUCUUGCUAUGAGUUAAUAAAGGGAUCCAGUAACUGCUCCCAGGGAAAGGAUAUCAGGUGUAUACGGUGAGAACAUCAUGUCUUUGGUCCAUGGCAACCGAUCAUUAUUGUACCCGUGCCUGGCAGAGAAAGGAAGAUGGAGCUACCAUCUUGACCAUGUCUAGUCCUUAGUUCCUGCCAGCAUUCACUGUCAGGCCUCUGAGCCCAAGUGAAGCCAUCAUAUCCCCUGUGGCCUGCACGUACACAUCCAGAUGGCCGGU